GAUGAACGCUAGCGGCAGGCCUAAUACAUGCAAGCCGAACGGCAAGUCUGAUAGCAAUAUUAGACCUAGAGUGGCGUAAGGGUGCGUAACACGCAUGCAAUCUACCCGCAACAGGAGGAUAGCUCGGGGAAACUCGAAUUAACCCUCCAUAAGAUCUUAGACCGGCAUCGGUUAGAGAUUAAAUCUGAGGAGGUUGCGGAUGAGCAUGCGUCUGAUUAGCUAGUUGGCGGGUAAUGGCCCACCAAGGCGAUGAUCAGUAGGGACUGAGAGGUUGAUCCCCCACACUGGCACUGAGAUACGGGCCAGGCUCCUACGGGAGGCAGCAGUAGGGAUAUUGGACAAUGGGUGAAGCCUGAUCCAGCCAUGCCGCGUGCAGGAAGAAGGCCUUCUGGGUUGGUAACUGCUUUUAUCGUGGGAUAAAAGGCCUUGGCGAGG
rnacentral:rRNA from 1 species